GACUUCUUUGACAUCCUUGUAAAGUGUCAGGGGUCCAGGUUAGAUGAUCAGAGAUGUGCUCCACCACCUGCUGCCACAAAGGGGCCGACUGUCCCCGACGAAGACUUUUUUAGCCUCAUUUUACGCUCUCAAGCUAAAAGGAUGGAUGAACAAAGAGUUCUGCUACAGAGAGAUCCAAACAGGGACAGUGAGUUUGGACUAAAGGAACUUUUGCAAAAUAAUGCUCUGUUGGAAUUUAAGCAUUCAGGGAAAUAACUAGCAAACCACAAGAUGGUGUGGUAUUUCCUACUAAAGAAAAGGAGGUUCCCUCGGGACACUGCAGGGAAACUCAUCUUACACAGCACCGUAGUAGUCACCAAGUUUUCCGGGUGUAAAUGUUGAAGUACUAAGGGACUGAAAGGUGCUUCUUCAACCUACCCGACCUUGAGACUCUGCUUGGGUGACUUAAGAUUCCUUGGCUAGGGUUUGUGUACUAGGAAUUUAAACGAAUCCUACACUAGAAUUCAGUCCUUUCUUACUGAGGUCAUUUUUUAAGGAUCUAGUUAACAAUGACUUUUUUAUAUACCCGCCCAAGAAUAUAGUGGAUUGCAUUGUUUACUGAAAAUAAUGUAAAUUUCCUAUGUAAAAAAGGUGAAAAUAGUCAUAAAAUUCUAGCUUAAGAAAACUAUAUUCAAUAUAUUUUUAGGCAAAGCCAGUGAAGGAGAUGAGAAAUAAACUACUUUUAGCAUGCCUUG
rnacentral:lncRNA from 1 species